rnacentral:rRNA from 1 species
UACGUAGGGGGCUAGCGUUGCUCGGAAUCACUGGGCGUAAAGGGUGCGUAGGCGGGUCUUUAAGUCAGGGGUGAAAUCCUGGAGCUCAACUCCAGAACUGCCUUUGAUACUGAAGAUCUUGAGUUCGGGAGAGGUGAGUGGAACUGCGAGUGUAGAGGUGAAAUUCGUAGAUAUUCGGCGGAACACCUGCGGCGAAGGCGGGUUGCUGGGCCGACACUGACGCUGAUGCGCGAAAGCUAGGGGAGCAAACGGG